AGAGCGAACGCUGGCGGCAGGCUUAACACAUGCAAGUCGAGCGGGCGUAGCAAGUGCGUCAGCGGCAGACGGGUGAGUAACGCGUGGGAACGUACCUUUUGGUUCGGAACAACCCAGGGAAACUUGGGCUAAAUACCGGAUAAGCCCUUACGGGGAAAGAUUUAUCGCCGAAAGAUCGGCCCGCGUCUGAUUAGCUAGUUGGUGAGGUAAUGGCUCACCAAGGCGACGAUCAGUAGCUGGUCUGAGAGGAUGAUCAGCCACAUUGGGACUGAGACACGGCCCAAACUCCUACGGGAGGCAGCAGUGGGGAAUAUUGGACAAUGGGCGCAAGCCUGAUCCAGCCAUGCCGCGUGAGUGAUGAAGGCCCGUAGGGUUGUAAAGCUCUUUUGUGCGGGAAGAUAAUGACGGUACCGCAAGAAUAAGCCCGGCUAACUUCGUGCCAGCAGCCGC
rnacentral:rRNA from 1 species